GUGAACGCUGGCGGUAGGCCUAACACAUGCAAGUCGAACGGCAGCACAGUAAGAGCUUGCUCUUACGGGUGGCGAGUGGCGGACGGGUGAGGAAUACAUCGGAAUCUACUUUUUCGUGGGGGAUAACGUAGGGAAACUUACGCUAAUACCGCAUACGACCUACGGGUGAAAGCAGGGGAUCUUCGGACCUUGCGCGAUUGAAUGAGCCGAUGUCGGAUUAGCUAGUUGGCGGGGUAAAGGCCCACCAAGGCGACGAUCCGUAGCUGGUCUGAGAGGAUGAUCAGCCACACUGGAACUGAGACACGGGCCAGACUCCUACGGGAGGCAGCAGUGGGGAAUAUUGGACAAUGGGCGCAAGCCUGAUCCAGCCAUACCGCGUGGGUGAAGAAGGCCUUCGGGUUGUAAAGCCCUUUUGUUGGGAAAGAAAAGCAGCAGGUUAAUACCCCGCUGUUCUGACGGUACCCAAAGAAUAAGCACCGGCUAACUUCGU
rnacentral:rRNA from 1 species